UACGGAGGGGGCUAGCGUUGUUCGGAAUUACUGGGCGUAAAGCGCACGUAGGCGGAUCGUUAAGUCGGGGGUGAAAUCCUGGAGCUCAACUCCAGAACUGCCUUCGAUACUGGCGAUCUAGAGUCCGGAAGAGGUGAGUGGAACUCCUAGUGUAGAGGUGGAAUUCGUAGAUAUUAGGAAGAACACCAGUGGCGAAGGCGGCUCACUGGUCCGGUACUGACGCUGAGGUGCGAAAGCGUGGGGAGCAAACAGG
rnacentral:rRNA from 1 species